rnacentral:rRNA from 1 species
UACAGAGGGUGCGAGCGUUGUCCGGAAUCACUGGGCGUAAAGGGCGCGUAGGUGGCGCGACAAGUCAGUGGUGAAAGCUCGACGCUCAACGUCGAGUCGGCCACUGAGACUGUUGGGCUUGAGCACUGUAGAGGCUAAUGGAAUUCCGGGUGUAGCGGUGGAAUGCGUAGAGAUCCGGAAGAACACCGGUGGCGAAGGCGGUUAGCUGGGCAGUUGCUGACACUGAGGCGCGACAGCGUGGGGAGCAAACAGG